UCGCUUCAGCAGCAAACAUUCCAAAACUGGAACGAUAUAUACGGAGAAGAUUUGUACGGCGCCUGCGCAAAGACAGCACGAAAAUUCGUGAAAUAUUCCAUAGUUUU